rnacentral:rRNA from 1 species
CCCAGGGGGAAUAGCGUUACAACGGCGAGUGAAGCGGCAAAAGCUCAAAUUUGAAAUCUGGCACCUUCGGUGUCCGAGUUGUAAUUUGAAGAAGGUAACUUUGGAGUUGGCUCUUGUCUAUGUUCCUUGGAACAGGACGUCACAGAGGGUGAGAAUCCCGUGCGAUGAGAUGCCCAAUUCUAUGUAAAGUGCUUUCGAAGAGUCGAGUUGUUUGGGAAUGCAGCUCUAAGUGGGUGGUAAAUUCCAUCUAAAGCUAAAUAUUGGCGAGAGACCGAUAGCGAACAAGUACAGUGAUGGAAAGAUGAAAAGAACUUUGAAAAGAGAGUGAAAAAGUACGUGAAAUUGUUGAAAGGGAAGGGCUUGAGAUCAGACUUGGUAUUUUGCGAUCCUUUCCUUCUUGGUUGGGUUCCUCGCAGCUUACUGGGCCAGCAUCGGUUUGGAUGGUAGGAUAAUGACUAAGGAAUGUGGCUCUACUUCGGUGGAGUGUUAUAGCCUUGGUUGAUACUGCCUGUCUAGACCGAGGACUGCGUCUUUUGACUAGGAUGUUGGCAUAAUGAUCUUAAGCCACCCGUCUUGAAAGCAGGGACACCAAAA